rnacentral:rRNA from 1 species
GGGUUGUGAGGUUAAGCGACUAAGCGUACACGGUGGAUGCCCUGGCAGUCAGAGGCGAUGAAGGACGUGCUAAUCUGCGAAAAGCGUCGGUAAGGUGAUAUGAACCGUUAUAACCGGCGAUGUCCGAAUGGGGAAACCCAGUGCAAUUCGUUGCACUAUCGUUAACUGAAUACAUAGGUUAACGAGGCGAACCGGGGGAACUGAAACAUCUAAGUACCCCGAGGAAAAGAAAUCAACCGAGAUUCCCCCAGUAGCGGCGAGCGAACGGGGAGCAGCCCAGAGUCUGAAUCAGCUUGUGUGUUAGUGGAACGGUCUGGAAAGUCCGACGGUACAGGGUGAUAGUCCCGUACACCAAAAUGCACAGGCUGUGAACUCGAAGAGUAGGGCGGGACACGUGGUAUCCUGUCUGAAUAUGGGGGGACCAUCCUCCAAGGCUAAAUACUCCUGACUGACCGAUAGUGAACCAGUACCGUGAGGGAAAGGCGAAAAGAACCCCGGCGAGGGGAGUGAAAAAGAACCUGAAACCGUGUACGUACAAGCAGUGGGAGCACCUUCGGGUGUGACUGCGUACCUUUGUAUAAUGGGUCAGCGACUUAUAUUCUGUAGCAAGGUUAACCGUAUAGGGAGCCGCAGGGAAACCGAGUCUUAACUGGGCGUUAAGUUGCAGGGUAUAGACCCGAAACCCGGUGAUCUAGCCAUGGGCAGGUUGAAGGUUGGGUAACACUAACUGGAGGACCGAACCGACUAAUGUUGAAAAAUUAGCGGAUGACUUGUGGCUGGGGGUGAAAGGCCAAUCAAACCGGGAGAUAGCUGGUUCUCCCGAAAGCUAUUUAGGUAGCGCCUCGUGAAUUCAUCUUCGGGGUAGAGCACUGUUUCGGCUAGGGGGUCAUCCCGACUUACCAACCCGAUGCAAACUACGAAUACCGAAGAAUGUUAUCACGGGAGACACACGGCGGGUGCUAACGUCCGUCGUGAAGAGGGAAACAACCCAGACCGCCAGCUAAGGUCCCAAAGUCAUGGUUAAGUGGGAAACGAUGUGGGAAGGCACAGACAGCCAGGAUGUUGGCUUAGAAGCAGCCAUCAUUUAAAGAAAGCGUAAUAGCUCACUGGUCGAGUCGGCCUGCGCGGAAGAUGUAACGGGGCUAAACCAUGCACCGAAGCUGCGGCAGCGACACUAUGUGUUGUUGGGUAGGGGAGCGUUCUGUAAGCCUGCGAAGGUGACCUGUGAGGGUUGCUGGAGGUAUCAGAAGUGCGAAUGCUGACAUAAGUAACGAUAAAGCGGGUGAAAAGCCCGCUCGCCGGAAGACCAAGGGUUCCUGUCCAACGUUAAUCGGGGCAGGGUGAGUCGACCCCUAAGGCGAGGCCGAAAGGCGUAGUCGAUGGGAAACAGGUUAAUAUUCCUGUACUUGGUGUUACUGCGAAGGGGGGACGGAGAAGGCUAUGUUAGCCGGGCGACGGUUGUCCCGGUUUAAGCAUGUAGGCUGGUUAUCCAGGCAAAUCCGGAUAAUCAAGGCUGAGGUGUGAUGACGAGGCACUACGGUGCUGAAGUAACAAAUGCCCUGCUUCCAGGAAAAGCCUCUAAGCAUCAGGUAACAUUAAAUCGUACCCCAAACCGACACAGGUGGUCAGGUAGAGAAUACCAAGGCGCUUGAGAGAACUCGGGUGAAGGAACUAGGCAAAAUGGUGCCGUAACUUCGGGAGAAGGCACGCUGGUGUGUAGGUGAAGUCCCUGCGGAUGGAGCUGAGACCAGUCGAAGAUACCAGCUGGCUGCAACUGUUUAUUAAAAACACAGCACUGUGCAAACACGAAAGUGGACGUAUACGGUGUGACGCCUGCCCGGUGCCGGAAGGUUAAUUGAUGGGGUUAUCCGUAAGGAGAAGCUCUUGAUCGAAGCCCGGUAAACGGCGGCCGUAACUAUAACGGUCCUAAGGUAGCGAAAUUCCUUGUCGGGUAAGUUCCGACCUGCACGAAUGGCGUAAUGAUGGCCAGGCUGUCUCCACCCGAGACUCAGUGAAAUUGAACUCGCUGUGAAGAUGCAGUGUACCCGCGGCAAGACGGAAAGACCCCGUGAACCUUUACUAUAGCUUGACACUGAACAUUGAGCCUUGAUGUGUAGGAUAGGUGGGAGGCUUUGAAGCGUGGACGCCAGUCUGCGUGGAGCCAACCUUGAAAUACCACCCUUUAAUGUUUGAUGUUCUAACGUUGGCCCCUUAUCGGGGUUGCGGACAGUGUCUGGUGGGUAGUUUGACUGGGGCGGUCUCCUCCCAAAGCGUAACGGAGGAGCACGAAGGUUAGCUAAUCCUGGUCGGACAUCAGGAGGUUAGUGCAAUGGCAUAAGCUAGCUUGACUGCGAGCGUGACGGCGCGAGCAGGUGCGAAAGCAGGUCAUAGUGAUCCGGUGGUUCUGAAUGGAAGGGCCAUCGCUCAACGGAUAAAAGGUACCCGGGGAUAACAGGCUGAUACCGCCCAAGAGUUCAUAUCGACGGCGGUGUUUGGCACCUCGAUGUCGGCUCAUCACAUCCCGGGCUGAAGUAGGUCCCAAGGGUAUGGCUGUUCGCCAUUUAAAGUGGUACGCGAGCUGGGUUUAGAACGUCGUGAGACAGUUCGGUCCCUAUCUGCCGUGGGCGCUGGAGAAUUGAGGGGGGCUGCUCCUAGUACGAGAGGACCGGAGUGGACGCAUCACUGGUGUUCGGGUUGUCAUGCCAAUGGCACUGCCCGGUAGCUAAAUGCGGAAGAGAUAAGUGCUGAAAGCAUCUAAGCACGAAACUUGCCCCGAGAUGAGUUCUCCCUGAGACUUUAAGUCUCCUGAAGGAACGUUGAAGACGACGACGUUGAUAGGCCGGGUGUGUAAGCGCAGCGAUGCGUUGAGCUAACCGGUACUAAUGAACCGUGAGGCUUAACCUUACAACGCCGAAG